UCAUUGUGAAGCAGAAUUCACCAGUGUUGGAUUGUUCACCCACCAAUAGGAACGUGAGCUGGGUUUAGACCGUCGUGAGACAGGUUAGUUUUACCCUACUUAUGAUAGUGUCGCAAUAGUAAUUCAACCUAGUACGAGAGAACCGUUGAUUCGCACAAUUGGUCAUCGCGCUUGGUUGAAAAGCAGUGAGAGCGAACGCUACCGUGCGCUGGAUUAUGACUGAACGCCUCUAAGUCAGAAUCCGGGCUAGAAGUGCGCGUGUUGCCCGUCGCCUGUUGCCGACCAGCAGUAGGGGGCCUCGGCCCCCAAAGGCACGUGUCGUAGGCUAAGCUCGCGUGGCGGACGAGCCGCGCGGGCCGCCUUGAAGUACAUCAUCAAGCGACGGGUAGAUCCUUUGCAGACGAUUAAUACGUGACGGGGGGUAUUGUAAGUGCGAGUGGCCUUGCUGCCACGAUCCACUGAGAUUCAGCCCUGCGUCGCUCAGAUUGU
rnacentral:ncRNA from 1 species